GACGAACGCUGGCGGCGUGCCUAAUACAUGCAAGUCGAACGCUUCUUUCCUCCUGAGUGCUUGCUCUCAUUUGGAACGAGGAGUGGAGGACGGGUGAGUAACACGUGGGUAACCUACUAAUCAGAGGGGGAUAACACUAGGAAACAGGUGCUAAUACCGCAUAACAGUUUAUGCCGCAUGGCAUAAGAGUGAAAGGCGCUUUCGGGCGUAGCUGCUGGUUGGACCCGCGGUGGAUUAGCUAGUCGGUGAGGUAACGGCUCACCAAGGGAACGAUGCAUAGCCGACCGGAGAGGGUGAUCGGCCACACUGGGACUGAGACACGGCCCAGACUCCUACGGAAGGCAGCAGUAGGGAAUCUUCGGCAAUGGACGAAAGUCUGACCGAGCAACGCCGCGUGAGUGAAGAAGGUUUUCGGAUCGUAAAACUCUGUUGUUAGAGAAGAACAAGGACGUUAGUAACUGAACGUCCCCUGACGGUAUCUAACCAGAAGGCCACGGCUAACUACGUG
rnacentral:rRNA from 1 species